rnacentral:rRNA from 1 species
GCGCCCGAAGCCGCGAGGCGACGGGCGUUCUCGCCGGAUGUAGGAACCGACCCGGGGGACCGCCGGGGCAACCCCGGCGCCCCCGAGACGGGGCGAACCACGGUGAAAUGACGGAUCGUCGGCCCCGCGCCGGCGACUCGCCGAAUGAGUUUCUGACCUAUCAACUCGAGACGGCGGGGUAGAGGCCCGCCGCGGUAACGACGGGUAACGGGGAAUCAGGGUUCGAUUCCGGAGAGGGAGCCCGAGAAACGGCUACCACUUCCAAGGAAGGCAGCAGGCGCGCAACUUACCCUAAUCUCGAUUCGAGGAGGUAGUGACAAGAAAUACCGAUGCGGGACCCUACGGGUGCCGCGUUCGGAAUGAGUACGAUUCGAACCACCUAACGAGGAACGAUCGGAGGGCAAGUCUGGUGCCAGCAGCCGCGGUAAUUCCAGCUCC